GAUGAACGCUAGCGGCAGGCUUAACACAUGCAAGUCGAGGGGUAUUGGUUUUCGGACCAAGAGACCGGCGCACGGGUGCGUAACGCGUAUGCAAUCUACCUUUUGCAGAGGGAUAGCCCAGAGAAAUUUGGAUUAAUACCUCAUAGUAUAGUACUUUGGCAUCAAGGAACUAUUAAAGUCACAACGGCAAAAGAUGAGCAUGCGUCCCAUUAGCUAGUUGGUAAGGUAACGGCUUACCAAGGCUACGAUGGGUAGGGGUCCUGAGAGGGAGAUCCCCCACACUGGUACUGAGACACGGACCAGACUCCUACGGGAGGCAGCAGUGAGGAAUAUUGGACAAUGGGCGCAAGCCUGAUCCAGCCAUGCCGCGUGCAGGAUGACGGUCCUAUGGAUUGUAAACUGCUUUUU
rnacentral:rRNA from 1 species